rfam:Lactobacillus acetotolerans DNA, complete genome, strain: NBRC 13120.
CCACAUCUGCAACCGCACGUUUCGGGGUAAGAAGUUUUUCUGAAUAAGAAGCACCUCGAUUGGCGAGUCUGAGUAUUUUU